rnacentral:pre_miRNA from 1 species
AGCGUUCUAUUCCGUGCAGAGAUUUCGUCAGACAUCAACCUAUUAGGGCUGAUCAGACUUCCAAGAUAAGUGAAGUU